rnacentral:ncRNA from 2 species
UUGUAGGCACGUGUUGAUUUGAUAACUCAGCUUGCGGACACGAAAAAUAAUCUGCUAAACGGUUGCUGGAUAUUCCAU